rnacentral:misc_RNA from 1 species
AAGUCGUAACAAGGUCUCCGUAGGUGAACCUGCGGAGGGAUCAUUACUGAAUGGCUUCGGCCUUCAACCUUCAAACCUGUGGAAGCAAACCGUGCUUCGGGGCUCCGGCCCCGCAUCUAUGCCUCAAAGCGUUUGUCUGAACUAAAAGCAAGAAUUAAAACUUUCAACAAAGGAUCUCUUGGCUCUC